CUGCUAACACAGAACAGAAUCUCCUUAAACAAAUGUGCUUUCUGCUAGUUUAAGCAACGUCUUGGACGCACCUGUGCAUCGAGUAUCCUGACGCCGUAGAAGAGCCAGUAGGACAUGGUGAGGAGGAGGGUGAGCGUGGUGAGGAAGGCCCGACACGCGCACACCCUCGGCAGGCUGGCGCGGGCCGGCCGCAGAAACAAGGCCCAUAUGGCGGUGAGGAGCAUGAGAAGCUUGAAGGACAGGGACAGGAAGAGACCCUCGCAGGCGGCGCCGCACGGCUGCAGCCUCUCGGGCCACACGAUGACGGGUAGAAGCAGGAAAACCAGAGGGGUGGCCAGCACCAGCAGGCCCCCGCACACGCCCACAGCGAGGGGGAGAUAGCGGCGGAAGCUUCUGGUCCGGUCCUGUAUGCCCUUUCCCAAGCCGACCACUUCCUCCUGGGAGAUGCUGAGCUCCGAAGUGCCCGUCACCGCCGUGGUGGUCUCUCCCCAGUUAUCAUCCUGCAGACAAUCUUGGACUUUCAUAAUGGGAAGUCUUCAAACACGCUUUGAUGUAAUGUAGGACGGCACGCAUGCAUGCAGGGGGACGCACACUCUGACGUGAGGAUCCGACGCCGCCGGCAUGGGCUCUCCUGGCAGUGGCUCGCCGUUGUGCACCGGAGAAUCCUGGGAGGACGUCUCUGGAGGAUUAAUGAUGACGGACUUUUCCGAGCGGCUGCUGUCUUUACUGCUGCUAGCCUUGUGGCGCUCUCGAGCUCGCUCGCUGGAUGAAAGACACGCACAGAAGAGCACGUGAGGUCAAGGAAACGUCAUCACAAGCGCGGGACACAACAUUAGAUGUCUUGUAUAUAUAGAGGUAGAACAAUUUUGGUCCUAGUAUUGACCCCUGGGGCACACCAUGUCACGGCGCAUGCGCAGUCUCGCAUGUCUUCUGCUACAAGCUCUGCCGGCGCCUCCGCUGGCAGCACGCCAGGACACGUCCCUGCUCGCUCUGGCCACAUUGCGGCCACGCACCGGCAAGGCUGCAGGCGAUCAGCAAUCAGCACACCUGGGACUGAUGAAGGCGAGCAGUACAAAGACCAGCGGACCCGAAGAUCCUGAGCCGGAACGUAGUUAACUCCUCGUAUACUUCCUGUGUCUCCCGUGAUCGAGCUGUGUGCCUCGCCUUCCCUCUGGACUUUGGAUUGCCUCCCUCGGUCCUCGACCUCUGCUUGGACACAGACCCCUUUUGACACCUCGCUAUACCCCCCGACAACCUGCCUGUCUCACGGACACUCGAGCCUACCUUUCCCCUUCGGGACUUCCGCCUCCCUCGGUAAAAGCCAAGAUGGUCGCAGCAGGACACGAUCCGCACCCGCCUUUAUCUUUUCAAAAUAAAAGAUUACGAUGAUCGAUGAAGAGAUUCGCUCCUACCUUUCCUCCUCGUCAUUCCUUCUGUGGAGAGAGGCGCGUCUCUUCCCUCACUCGAUAUCGGCCAUUGUGAGAGGAGAUAUAGAUGGAUGCAUGUCAUCGGGAGGAACACCUGCCUCCCUCCACGGGCAGAACACCCCCACCCCAAAAUGAGUGACCGUCAUUUGACAGAACCGCUCAAUGGAGGACAACAAACCAGGUCUAAGCCCUCCUCUUCGUCAGUCUGGACACCAUCUGUUUACAAACACAGCCCCACAUCUUCCUCUUCAUCCUUGCAUUGUGUCAGCUGCUGAAUAAGCACUGGUGGGGAAGACAUUCGUUACAUAUUAUAUUUUUCAAUAUUUUUUUAUACAUGUAUAUAUACACUGUGGG